rnacentral:rRNA from 1 species
UACAGAGGUCCCAAGCGUUGUUCGGAUUCACUGGGCGUAAAGGGUGCGUAGGUGGUUGUGCAAGUCGGAUGUGAAAUCUCCGAGCUCAACUCGGAAACUGCAUUGGAAACUACCUGGCUCGAGGGUUGGAGGGGGGACUGGAAUGCUUGGUGUAGCAGUGAAAUGCGUAGAUAUCAAGCGGAACACCAGUGGCGAAGGCGAGUCCCUGGACAACUCCUGACACUGAUGCACGAAAGCUAGGGGAGCAAACAGG